AGCACCCCUCACAAACACACACUGCACCCCUCACAUACACACAGAGCACCCCUCUCUCAGACACACUGCUCACACAUACGCACUGCACCCCUCGCAAACACACACAACACCCCUCACACACACACCCACAUCACCCCUCACACACAUACACACAGCACCCGUCACACACACAGCACCCUUCACACAAACACACACUCAGCACCCCUCUCACACUGUACCCCUCUCACAUACAUACACACACACACACUGCACCCCUCACACACACAC